GACGUAGGAUGCAAGCGUUGUCCGGAUUUAUUGGGCGUAAAGAGUUCGUAGGCGGUUUGUCGCGUCUGCUGUGAAAACCGGAGGCUCAACCUCCGGCCUUGCAGUGGGUACGGGCAAACUAGAGUGCGGUAGGGGAGAUUGGAAUUCCUGGUGUAGCGGUGGAAUGCGCAGAUAUCAGGAGGAACACCGAUGGCGAAGGCGGCUUGCUGGGCCAGUUCUGACGCUGAGGAGCGAAAGCGUGGGGAGCGAACAGG
rnacentral:rRNA from 1 species